UGGGGAAUAUUGCACAAUGGGCGCAAGCCUGAUGCAGCCAUUCCGCGUGUGUGAAGAAGGCCUUCGGGUUGUAAAGCACUUUCAGCGGGGAGGAAGGCGAUAAGGUUAAUAACCUUGUCGAUUGACGUUACCCGCAGAAGAAGCACCGGCUAACUCCGUGCCAGCAGCCGCGGUAAUACGGAGGGUGCAAGCGUUAAUCGGAAUUACUGGGCGUAAAGCGCACGCAGGCGGUCUGUCAAGUCGGAUGUGAAAUCCCCGGGCUCAAACUGGGAACUGCAUUCGAAACUGGCAGGCUAGAGUCUUGUAGAGGGGGGUAGAAUUCCAGGUGUAGCGGUGAAAUGCGUAGAGAUCUGGAGGAAUACCGGUGGCGAAGGCGGCCCCCUGGACAAAGACUGACGCUCAGGUGCGAAAGCGUGGGGAGCAAACAGG
rnacentral:rRNA from 1 species